rnacentral:rRNA from 1 species
AGAAUCAACGCUGGCGGCGUGCCUAACACAUGCAAGUCGAACGAGAAAGUGGAGCAAUCCAUGAGUAAAGUGGCGCACGGGUGAGUAACACGUGACUAACCUACCCUUGAGUGGGGAAUAAACUUCGGGAAACCGAGGCUAAUACCGCAUAACACCUACGGGUCAAAGGAGCAAUUCGCUUAAGGAGGGGGUCGCGGCAGAUUAGUUAGUUGGCGGGGUAAUGGCCCACCAAGACGGUGAUCUGUAUCCGGCCUGAGAGGGCGCACGGACACACUGGAACUGAAACACGGUCCAGACUCCUACGGGAGGCAGCAGUGGGGAAUUUUGCGCAAUGGGGGAAACCCUGACGCAGCAACGCCGCGUGGAGGAUGAAGUCCCUUGGGACGUAAACUCCUUUCGAUCGGGACGAUUAUGACGGUACCGGAAGAAGAAGCCCGGCUAACUUCGUGCCAGCAGCCGC